rnacentral:rRNA from 1 species
AGAGUUUGAUCAUGGCUCAGGAUGAACGCUAGCUACAGGCUUAACACAUGCAAGUCGAGGGGAAACGAUAUUGGAAGCUUGCUUCCGAUAGGCGUCGACCGGCGCACGGGUGAGUAACGCGUAUCCAACCUGCCCACCACUUGGGGAUAACCUUGCGAAAGUAAGACUAAUACCCAAUGAUAUCUCUAGAAGACAUCUGAAAGAGAUUAAAGAUUUAUCGGUGAUGGAUGGGGAUGCGUCUGAUUAGCUUGUUGGCGGGGUAACGGCCCACCAAGGCAACGAUCAGUAGGGGUUCUGAGAGGAAGGUCCCCCACAUUGGAACUGAGACACGGUCCAAACUCCUACGGGAGGCAGCAGUGAGGAAUAUUGGUCAAUGGACGAGAGUCUGAACCAGCCAAGUAGCGUGCAGGAAGACGGCCCUAUGGGUUGUAAACUGCUUUUAUAAGGGAAUAAAGUGAGAGUCGUGACUCUUUUUGCAUGUACCUUAUGAAUAAGGACCGGCUAAUUCCGUGCCAGCAGCCGCGGUAAUACGGAAGGUCCGGGCGUUAUCCGGAUUUAUUGGGUUUAAAGGGAGCGUAGGCCGGAGAUUAAGCGUGUUGUGAAAUGUAGACGCUCAACGUCUGCACUGCAGCGCGAACUGGCUUCCUUGAGUACGCACAAAGUGGGCGGAAUUCGUGGUGUAGCGGUGAAAUGCUUAGAUAUCACGAAGAACUCCGAUUGCGAAGGCAGCUCACUGGAGCGCAACUGACGCUGAAGCUCGAAAGUGCGGGUAUCGAACAGGAUUAGAUACCCUGGUAGUCCGCACGGUAAACGAUGGAUGCCCGCUGUUGGUCUGAAUAGGUCAGCGGCCAAGCGAAAGCAUUAAGCAUCCCACCUGGGGAGUACGCCGGCAACGGUGAAACUCAAAGGAAUUGACGGGGGCCCGCACAAGCGGAGGAACAUGUGGUUUAAUUCGAUGAUACGCGAGGAACCUUACCCGGGCUUGAAUUGCAGAGGAAGGAUUUGGAGACAAUGACGCCCUUCGGGGCCUCUGUGAAGGUGCUGCAGGGUUGUCGUCAGCUCGUGCCGUGAGGUGUCGGCUUAAGUGCCAUAACGAGCGCAACCCCUCUCCUUAGUUGCCAUCAGGUUAAGCUGGGCACUCUGGGGACACUGCCACCGUAAGGUGUGAGGAAGGUGGGGAUGACGUCAAAUCAGCACGGCCCUUACGUCCGGGGCU